rnacentral:rRNA from 1 species
UACGGAGGGGGCGAGCGUUAUUCGGAAUUAUUGGGCGUAAAGAGCGUGUAGGCGGCCCGGUAAGUCCGCUGUAAAAGUCAAAGGCUCAACCUUUGAAUGUCAGUGGAUACUGCCGGGCUAGAGUCCGGAAGAGGCGAGUGGAACUCCUGGUGUAGCGGUGGAAUGCGCAGAUAUCAGGAAGAACACCAACGGCGAAGGCAGCUCGCUGGGACGGUACUGACGCUGAGACGCGAAAGCGUGGGGAGCGAACAGG